ensembl:lncRNA
GGGAAGUACGCCUCGCUUUCAAGGCAAAUAGCCUGUUUUGGAUGUAAAAACAUAACUUGUGUAUAAGAGUCGGGCAUUGCUUUUCUUUCAGGACAACAUAAGUAUUUUGUAAUGGAUUGCCUGUGUUACCUCAAGCAUGUAUCAAGGGCCUGGGCUUUCACGGAGGGACACUGAGACAUCGAUGUACUUGUGUCGCUGAUUGAUAACAACGUGUAACACAUUGAAUACAUACAUGUGAGAGGACCUGUGAAGAUCUGACACCCACCAGGCUGUGAUACAAGCAUAUACUCUACAUACACGAUUUAUGGCAGCAGAGAGCAAUAUACAAGCUCAUAGUCAUUCCCCUGUAUGUGGAUG